AUUGAACGCUGGCGGCAUGCUUUACACAUGCAAGUCGAACGGCAGCGGGGAGGAGCUUGCUUCUCUGCCGGCGAGUGGCGCACGGGUGAGUAAUACAUCGGAACGUGUCGAGAAGAGGGGGACAACCACCCGAAAGGGUGGCUAAUACCGCAUAAAUUCUGAGGCAGAAAGCUGGGGACCUAGGAAUAGGCCUAGCGCUUUUUGAGCGGCCGAUGUCGGAUUAGCUAGUUGGUGAGGUAAAGGCUCACCAAGGCGAAGAUCUGUAGCGGGUCUGAGAGGAUGAUCCGCCACACUGGGACUGAGACACGGCCCAGACUCCUACGGGAGGCAGCAGUGGGGAAUUUUGGACAAUGGGGGCAAGCCUGAUCCAGCCAUGCCGCGUGUAUGAAGAAGGCCUUAGGGUUGUAAAGUACUUUUGUUAGGGAAGAAAAGUCAGCUGUGAAUAAUGGCUGAUACUGACGGUACCUAAAGAAUAAGCACCGGCUAACUACGUG
rnacentral:rRNA from 1 species